UACGGAGGGUGCAAGCGUUAAUCGGAAUUACUGGGCGUAAAGCGUGCGUAGGCGGUUAUUUAAGUCUGUUGUGAAAUCCCCGGGCUCAACCUGGGAAUGGCAAUGGAUACUGGAUAGCUAGAGUGUGAUAGAGGAUGGUGGAAUUCCCGGUGUAGCGGUGAAAUGCGUAGAGAUCGGGAGGAACAUCAGUGGCGAAGGCGGCCAUCUGGAUCAACACUGACGCUGAGGCACGAAAGCGUGGGGAGCAAACAGG
rnacentral:rRNA from 1 species